AUUCCUUUCUAUAGCGCUUUUUAUCCCACAGCUCAUGAACUCAUACCGUUCCGACCACAAUUGCAAAGUUUCUCCCAGCCCUUCAAGAUCAUAGAAACAAAGAGAUCACACAAAAAGGUCUUACCAUCUUCAUCUUGGAUGUGAGGACACAACCUCUUCAGUUAACAAAGGAAGAAACUGAGGUAGCCCAGACUAACACUGCUGCGCCCCACUGGGGCCUUCGGUGGUGGGACGCUCUCCCGAGACUGCCGCAGACAGCCAGGUGUCAUCGUUAUCGCCGGUUAGGUCCGGCAGCCUCCGAGGGACUUCCAAGGUCCCGUGGCCGCGAUCCCACCUGCGGCGUCCGCGUCAGCCGGCUCUUCCUGAGAGCCGCACCCUGAGAGGAGCGGCGCGCGCGCCAACCCGGGGCGGGGAUCAUUGUGUCCACAGACGCCCACUGGUGGGGCGUCCUGAGGCAUUUAGAACAAUGCCUGGCACACAGUGGGUCCUCAAUAAACAACAGUUGAAUGUAAGAAUGAAUGCUCACCAUCGUCAUUCAAAGAAGAAUUGAGACCUCACGGAUGAGACCUCGCGUCAUUCAAAGAAUAAUCACUGUGUCUGCGCUACACUCAGGGGAUGUGUCAGUCACCCUCUGGUCUAGCAGACUGCCACCAUGCUUGUCUCUCUUGGAGGGUGUUCAGCAGCUUUGGAUUUGAAAUGACUUUGUGAAGAUCCUCUCCUGGAAUCACAUGGACUGUGUAGCUAGGAAGGGAUGCUGCCCUUUGUCCAAAUUCCAAAGCAAGGGCCUUUUGUCUAGGGGAGUGUAUCAAUAGGUUCCUCCUACAGGUGAAUGGGAGGACUGUGCUGGUCAGUUGGAAGUUGGGCCCCUAAACUGGGAAAGAGAGGCACUUGGAAGGUUUCCAGAGGUUAGAAGUUGACUUCAUACCCUUGGCACAGGAGCAGGGCUAAUUAUUCUCUUGUAUAAUAGAGAGGUGCUAUAAGAACUAGGAGUAGUUAUCCCUCCACACUGCCUAGAGGUGAGAAGGCCUACAGGCGCUCAUGUGUUUUGCAGGUCACAAAGUAACCAGCCAUUGCUCUAGUGACCAGGACAUUGUCCAGAUACAAGGCAAUGGAAGGUGCUGUUCUUUUUCACACACUAGGAAGUACUUUCCUACUACACACCUUCAUGUAAGGGAGAGGAUGAGGUCCUACCUAGUAGAUACCUAGUAGGUAUCUGUGAAGCUGACAACAAGACACCUGGGUGAAAAGCGAAGAAUACCAGCAAUCCCACAGACAUUUUAUAUGCAUAAGGCCUAGCAUCCAUCUAACUGCAUUUACUCUGAAACUUGGUGUGAUAUAGACUCACAGUUCAUAAUAUUCUAUAUAUGCAUAUGUACAUAUAGUUUUUAAGUCAUUUAUGUCUUCUGUUUGUAAGCAAUAUAUUUCGCAUUUUUAUACUAGCCACAGGUUUUUGCAGAUGUUAUUCUUCGUAUCUCAAGGUUGGUCCAGGGCUCAAUUUUUUUUUUAUUGUUUGCAGGUGCCCUGUCUUGAAUCUGUGUACUGAUUAGAUGUUUGAGUAUUACAACAGUAAUAGACACCUUGUUCUUAAUAAGUGCCAUGAGGAUUGAGCGUCAUCGUAUCAGGGAUCUUCUUCUCACUGCCAUUAAAUAGCUAUGUGUCUUAGUGCAGGUCACUCCUUGGGCCUCAGUUUCCCAACUCUAAUUUGAAGAGGCUGGGUUAGAGAGUUAUUAAGUUUUCUUUUAGAGGCAAAGAAUCCACAAUUCAAGUAAUAUUUUAUAUAAACACUAUACUUAUUUUCCUCAUUGAGAGUAGAAUGAUCUAUGUCAC
rnacentral:lncRNA from 1 species